AAGUCGUAACAAGGUUUCCGUAGGUGAACCUGCGGAAGGAUCAUUAUUAAAAUUAAUAAAUCCAACCUUAAACCACACUGAACUGUUCUUACGUUUGUUUGGAUGUCAAGAUUUUAGCAUGCAGGGGUACGGCCUCACUUACUAAUUUCUUUUCUUCCUUAUGAACGCGAUUUUUUUUUAAACCCUUUUGAACUUUAGUACUAAUUAAUGUUCUCUACCCAACCUAAAAAAUUGGGAUUGAACGUUUUCUUACAUGAAAACACCGAACAACUCUUAGCAACGGAUGUCUCGGCUCUCGUAACGAUGAAAAACGCAGC
rnacentral:misc_RNA from 1 species